ACUAUAUCUUCGAUUUUUCUUUAUCUCUCCUCUAUGGAAAGAGGGGAUGAUACGUGGCGUGGUAUACCUGAUCGUUUAGUCAACAAGACGUACGUAAGUCGACAUAGCUCCAUGUAUAUGUUCUUUGGAGCUAGAACCAAUCAAUAGAAUGAAAUGAAAUAAUGGUAAGCCUAGGGCGACGAACAUGGCUCAAGAGUGUCUAUACAAAGCCCCUCUCUUCUUCACUCAAAGAGGCAAUGCACCCUUUGUUUGAAUGGUACUUGAUUCAUAAAGAAUGAUUCUUUUGAAGUUAUACGAACUUUCUAAAAAAA
rnacentral:lncRNA from 1 species